CUCGAGGCCAGAUCUUUCCGGUUGAUCCUGCCGGAACCGACCGCUAUCGGGGUAGGGCUAAGCCAUGGGAGUCGAACGCCCCGCCGCUGCGGGGCGUGGCGGACGGCUGAGUAACACGUGGCUAACCUACCCUCGGGACGGGGAUAACCCCUCGGGAAACUGGGGCUAAUCCCCGAUAGGCGGGGGGUGCCUGGAAGGGUCCUCCGCCGAAAGGGGCCGCGGGGGGUUAUCGCCCGCGGUCCGCCCGAGGAUGGGGCUGCGGCCCAUCACGGUAGUUGGCGGGGUAAUGGCCCGCCAAGCCUACGACGGGUAGGGGCCGUGAGAGCGGGAGCCCCCAGAUGGGCACUGAGACAAGGGCCCAGGCCCUACGGGGCGCACCAGGCGCGAAAACUCCGCAAUGCGGGCAACCGUGACGGGGCUACCCCGAGUGCCCCCCUUGGGGGGGCUUUUCCCCGCUGUAAGUAGGCGGGGGAAUAAGCGGGGGGCAAGACUGGUGUCAGCCGCCGCGGUAAUACCAGCCCCGCAAGCGGUCGGGGUGUUUACUGGGCCUAAAGCGCCCGUAGCCGGCUCGACAAGUCCCCGCCUAAA
rnacentral:rRNA from 1 species